GCGCUUGUAGCUCAAUGGAUAGAGCAUCAGAUUGCGGAUCUGAAGGUUAUGAGUUCGAGUCUCAUCGAGCGCA
rnacentral:tRNA from 1 species